rnacentral:rRNA from 1 species
UGGGGGAUAUUGCACAAUGGGGGGAACCCUGAUGCAGCGACGCCGCGUGGAGGAAGAAGUAUCUCGGUAUGUAAACUCCUAUCAGCAGGGAAGAAGACAGACGGUACCUGACUAAGAAGCCCCGGCUAACUACGUGCCAGCAGCCGCGGUAAUACGUAGGGGGCGAGCGUUAUCCGGAUUUACUGGGUGUAAAGGGAGCGUAGACGGCCAUGCGAGCCUGAUGUGAAAGGCGUGGGCACAACCCGCGGACUGCAUCGGGGACUGUGUGGCUGGAGUGUUGGAGGGGCAGGCGGAAUUCCUGGU